CCGUCGACAGAGAGACGGUGGUGUGUCACGCAACCACCGAUGAGGGCAAGCUAGGGUGAGGAUUUCCUUUUUCCCAUUAUAAUCACUUGUGGCUUUCUCUCUGUCUAGAAUAUACGGGUAGAUAGAAGGACGUGUGAGACUAGGGUUGACGGUGGUUGUGGUAGGCGAAGAAGCAAGAUUGACCACCGGCGGAGAAGAGACCCUGCCAGUGGUGACGGUGGUGGUUGCUCCGGGAAAGCAGAAGAUUAAGAACAGAAUCACAACGAUGAUGAGUUUGAGUUGCAAAGAAGGCGCCAUUAACGGAGAAUCGAGAGGCGUAGAGUGAAUGAUGGUGAAAAAAACGAUGGUUGUUGGAGUUGUUAUUUCAACGGAAACUGUAUGAGUUGCCAUGGAGUUUCCGGCCGUUGGCGGUGUCAGUUUAUCAUUGCUGCCAACUUUGCCGUAGAGGCUUCGCUGGAGACUCACAGAAACAAAGGCGUUUCCGUCAAUUGUUGAAGAAGUAGAAGGUGACCUUUGUGAUGCACAUAAAUUUCAGCCUCACUAUGUAGCUGUUGAUUAUUGGUGAUUUUGACGUCACUAUGGAACUGUUGAUUAUUGGUCAUCUUACUCUACCAGAAGGCUGUUCCGUUCUGGUGCUGUUCGAAUUGGGGAUUUUACUCUACAGGCUGUCUCUUAGUCGAUUUGUGAUUCCAUCUUAACUUACCAGGCUGUGGCUGUGAGGACACUGUAAAUGUUUGGGCACCGCCAACAACAGGGUGGUGCUUGCUGGUGACUAAAUAUCCAACAAUCUCUGUUCAGCUUUGUGUAGCCAUAAUUACAAAAGGGAAUACAGUGAUGCUGG
rnacentral:lncRNA from 1 species